CANUGGAGGAACUCUGAUGCAGCGACGCCGCGUGAGUGAAGAAGUAUUUCGGUAUGUAAAGCUCUAUCAGCAGGGNAAGAAAAUGACGGUACCUGACUAAGAAGCCCCGGCUAACUACGUGCCAGCAGCCGCGGUAAUACGUAGGGGGCAAGCGUUAUCCGGAUUUACUGGGUGUAAAGGGAGCGUAGACGGCGACGCAAGUCUGAAGUGAAAUACCCGGGCUCAACCUGGGAACUGCUUUGGAAACUGUGUUGCUAGAGUGCUGGAGAGGUAAGCGGAAUUCCUAGUGUAGCGGUGAAAUGCGUAGAUAUUAGGAAGAACACCAGUGGCGAAGGCGGCUUACUGGACAGUAACUGACGUUGAGGCUCGAAAGCGUGGGGAGCAAACAGGAUUAGAUACCCUGGUAGUCCAAGGGCGAAUUC
rnacentral:rRNA from 1 species